AGUGUGGAGUCAAUUGAGGGUACUAUGUUUCAUGAAGCCAAUAGAAGACUGUUGCUCACUGAGAGGAGUAAUCCAGAACUAUCAGAGGCAGAGGAUCUCUCUUUCGGCUGCUGCUGACAACUGCAUAACUACCUCAAUUCAUCAAGGCAUGGACCCUAUCAUGUGUUGAAAGCAUUCCACAUAGAUGUUGGCCAAUGUUGACUCUAAUGCUUCCCGCAGUUGUGUCAAGUUGGCUGGAUGUCCUUUGGGUGGUGGACAAUUCUUAAAUGGGAAACUGUUGUGUGAAAGUGUUGUGUUGCAGUUCUUGACACAAACCACUGCGCCUGAUGCCUACUACCACACCACAUUCAAAGGCACUUACAUCAUUUUUCUUUCUCAUUCACCCUCUGAAUGGCAUACAUACACAAUCCAUGUCUCAAGGCUUAAAAAUCCUUCUUUUACCUGUCUCCUCCCCUUCAUCCACACUAAUUUAAGUGGAUUUAACAGGGUACAUCAAUAAGGCAUCAUAGCUUCGAAAGAGCAGGUGUCCUUAAUGUUUUGUAUACUCAGUGUAUGUCUGCAUAGCGUUUUGUCUUCAUUUUGGCAGAUUAACUGAUGCUUAUUUCUGAAGAUGAACUGUUUUUUCUCCUCUGGAAGCAGUCAGGCAACAACCUAUACUGUACUGGGCCGGGCACUGGAAAAAUGGGCAGAAUUGAUCUGACAACUGGAGGGCUGCUGGGUUCACAUCCUCAAAACAUUCCCCUACUGCUGGGCCCUUGACCAAAGCCAUAACAUGCUUUCCAUCCAGGGGUGCUGCACUUCAGCUUGACCCUGUGCGCAACUGUAUCUGUGAGGUCUGAUGUUUGGGGGGUUGAGCACAGAGCAGAAGACACAUUUUUGUUGUUUUCUGUAACUAACAGAGAAAGGUGUAUUGUUCAAGCAAAGAGAUGCCUCCCUGGCCACUAGUGCAUAUUUAAAAACUAUGUUUGCAUAUAAUGACAAUACAUUCUAAAAACUAUGCUGGUAAUUAUUAUUUAGUUGUUUAUUACAUAAUAUUCUUAGCUAAAAAUAUGACUAUUUAAUAGCAGUAGCCAUAAUUCAUAAAUGGCACCAUACAGGGUUCUAUAUGGAAGCAUUUUGAUUCAGUGAAGAAGAACCUCUAGGGUUUUUUAUAACUUUUAGGGAAUCCAUAUAUGAAGCAAGUGAUAGAACCCUUUUUGGUUUUAUAGGGAACCUUCUUUUCUAAGAGUGUGGCUAAUAAAUGAGGAUGCUUAGGAAGGAGAAAGCUGAUACCACUUAUGGAGGGGAUUUACUCUAUCAGGCAAAUGGGCAGACAAUGGUUCCUAGUUGGUGCCUGGAUUGCCUAGUCAAAUUGAAGUAUUAUUGACAAAACUUUACACUGCAUAUCUGCAUAUCUGCAUAUCAUUCUCUACCUUUCACUGGUGAACAAAGUCUUUUGGGGUCAAAUGAAGUGUACAUGAGUCUACCUCAUUAAAUCAAUUAUAUUACAAUUACAUCUGAAUAACACUGUAAGUGAGCCUGACCCAGGGUAGACAUACAGACAGCUAUUAACAGUUGAUUAUUAGUAAACAAGGAAGUCUUUUGUUUUUAUUUGACCAUUUCAAUUAUCCACCUCUCUCCCUCCCCCGCUCCCUCCUGGUACAGACAGACUACUGGAGCUUCCCAGAAACAGUAAUCACAUUCACUAUUAAUGAGACAUGUUCAUUCUGGACCCAUUUACUGCUCGUAAUAAUGCAUACUCUCUGGAAUUGUCUGUGGGUAUAUUACACUGUGUGCAUAUCAAACACACACACACACUCUCCAUGUCCUCCUGGAAGAGAGAUAUCUGGUGGUUCGGUCAUGUUGUCUGUCUGGCCUCAGGCUUAAUACUCUCCAGGAAAAUAUG